rnacentral:rRNA from 1 species
AGAGUUUGAUCCUGGCUCAGGAUGAACGCUGGCGGCGUGCUUAACACAUGCAAGUCGAACGAUGAACCUCACUUGUGGGGGGAUUAGUGGCGAACGGGUGAGUAACACGUGAGUAACCUGCCCUUAACUCUGGGAUAAGCCUGGGAAACUGGGUCUAAUACCGGAUAUGACUCCUCAUCGCAUGGUGGGGGGUGGAAAGCUUUAUUGUGGUUUUGGAUGGACUCGCGGCCUAUCAGCUUGUUGGUGAGGUAAUGGCUCACCAAGGCGACGACGGGUAGCCGGCCUGAGAGGGUGACCGGCCACACUGGGACUGAGACACGGCCCAGACUCCUACGGGAGGCAGCAGUGGGGAAUAUUGCACAAUGGGCGCAAGCCUGAUGCAGCGACGCCGCGUGAGGGAUGACGGCCUUCGGGUUGUAAACCUCUUUCGGUAGGGAAGAAGCGAAAGUGACGGUACCUGCAGAAGAAGCGCCGGCUAACUACGUGCCAGCAGCCGCGGUAAUACGUAGGGCGCAAGCGU